CUUGCUUGCCGCUGUUGGAUGUAAGCAGAGGCGUUGCGGUGGUCGAAGUCUCCUAGGCAGGUUUAUCUGCUUUGAGAUGUGCCAUAGUUUGAGAGGUAAGCUCUGGUGAUUCAUUUUCUUUGGCCGUCUAUAGGCAUCUUUGUUACAUGGAAUUAGGUAUCUUAGAUAAAGAACUACUAUCAAAUAAAAUAUGCAUAUGAGUUUCCAUAUCUCUUGGUUAUUUAUCCUAACCAAUUACUUAGUAUUACUUAGAGUGUGUUUGUUCGGGCUACAAUUUCCAUGCCUACAGCUGAAGGAGCGACUGUAGCUGCAGAGAGGCUUCAGAGCAUGGUAACAUUGUUUAUGAGAAAAAUCCACGACGGACUAAUAACCUACUUCUUCUAGGAAGUAUCUACUGUAAGUUUAUGACUUGGUGCUAGCUGAAGCUUGCAUUUUCUACCAAAACUGCUAUUAACAAAAGAACUCUAGCGACCCAGGAUUUUAUCUUUAACUGCUAUUAAACUCACAAGAGGGAGCAUUUUAAUAACAAAAGAACUCUAUCCAUGUUUUCUGAUAUACUGUGUAUAUGCAUGAUGUACUAGCAGUUCCUAUUUUUUAACUAUUGCGUACCAGAAAAACGAAUUGGUAAUAAAUUGAUGUAUUGAAUUAUGUUAUGAGAGGGAUUUGUUCAUUUCAAAACUAAGGAAGUUGUCAGUUCAAAAAAAUACUAAGGAAGUUGGAUGAGCUUAAAGCACCUAUUCAGCAGUUAACUGAACUUUUCUAAUUGUAUUUUAAAUCCACAAGAGGGUAAAAUCAAUGCUCUUUCCCAGAUCAUCUAAAUCAGAUGGAUGGGCUCCAAACUCCCAGUGUCGUUUGUCGUUUUUGUGUUAUAAUUUUUUACUUGAGUGCCUUUGGACAUAUGGUACUAUGGAGAGGUGACAUUAGCACAAUCGAUGGUUGUUUCUCCUCCCCUAUCAACCACAUCUGCUGACUCUAUAUGUCAAUAUAUCAGCAAAACGAGAUAUCAUUGUUUUAUGGAGUUCACAGAUUAUUGAAGAUUUUUGCUGCCAUGGAAUUGUGAGUUUGUGACUAUACAUUCUUGUCCUACAUGUGAGUUGAAGAUAUAUUGUCUCUGUAUAUGAAUAUAAAUAUCCAGGUAAAUUUGAUGAUUCAUAAAUUAACCGGUUGGAGAUCGGUAGACAGUCAAGUGUAUUGAUAACUGGAGUUUAGAGCUCAAAAUCCUUCUAACUUUUCUACUAACUGUAUUUCUUGACAGCUUCCAGAGAAGAACAAAUACUCUUAGUCAUUCUCUGGCAUGUAUAGUAUACAAUACUAGAGAUGUGAAUGGAUGUAGUUCAUUUAGUAGAGUAUUAGUAGGUGAUGAUUUCUUUUCUUCACAGUCAACUGGUGUAUAUCCUGAUAUGUUUAGCCUGUUCCAUAAUUAAUUUGUAAAGUAGCCUGAACAAUUGUACAGUCUCUCUGUGUAUUAGUACUCUGUUUUUUGGGCAACUUGAAGAAAUCAGUUUCUCAUGACA